CACGCGAUACGCCACUUCGCUGAGCCAUCAUUUGUGGCCAGGUCGCUACUGACAAAGACCCGCCUGCUACGUAGCGCAGUGGUAUUAAAAAAAGAAAUAGUUUAAGCGGAGAGACGGAGGUGUAUAUGAGAAUGAGACAUCGUUCGCGUGCUUUUUUUUGUAUUUCACUGCAGCACACGGGCGCUCAAUCUCCGGUAGCGGCAUUCCAGGAGUAAAAAAUAAAAUACAAAAUUAUCAGCGGCGUGGUGCUUUCUGAGCCACCGCUUUGGGAUCACUUUCUGAGCCACUGGAACCGGGGAACCGGGGAACCUCGCCGGAAUCCCUCCCCAUCCCCCGGCUCGCGAAGCGCUCCGUUUGGAACGCGCGGCUUGCUCGGCCUUGAUCAUCGAGUCACGUGUUCAUCGCAACAACAGCGGCAGCAACGGACAAUUGCCUGCCUAGGUUGGGCGAAUUUUCCCACGAUGAUUUCACGAUGCAAUUUUAGUUUUCUGUCUGUUGUUGUUGUUUUGUUGUUUUUGUUCGCUUUGUCCUUGCAUAGCAGGAGGCGGAUUCUCGGAGUGAGUGGAACGAGUCGCUUGGGGUGCAUGCGCGAGGCGGUGCGGGGAGUGUGAGAGGCGUUGGAGGCGAGGGAGAGAUGGUGACAAGGGCCGUGAGCGAGCGGUUUGCGUGGGGCAGCACCACGCCCGACCGCCUUUGUCUCCAGUCUUUGACCACGCCGCACCAGGAGCAGCAGCGCACGGACGCAUUCGUCCCGAGAGGCGAGCCGGAGUUGCGUCCCCACGUCGGACAGCCCGCAGGGAGGGCGACGCUUCCGCAGCGUCUCCUCGCUCGGAUAUCAAUCUCCAUCUGUGUGUCCUAAAUGCAGACGAAGGCAAAGAUCCCCCGUAUAGCCUCGGCAGACUUUUUGGGGAAAGUGCCGUUAGCGAGCAGCACUUACGAUGGCCGGCGCGGCACCUACGAAGGGGGCGGGCGGGUGGCCAGCACGACCACUCCCCGGCCCCCUUUGUCUCCCCAGUGCCGAUAUUCACAUGCUGCACCAGCUACUCAUGAGGCUGAGUCGACCUAGGGGAGGGCACCCGGACCGGUGCAGACAUUCGCCCGGCCGCUGUCUGCCGUCCGCGAGCGGGAAUCGAACUCGGGUGGCGCGGUCCCCUUAUAUUCCACUGCGCGGUAGCAACGCGGGCGAUUGCCGUGUCCCGGGACUGCCGAGCAGAGCAGGGGAGGCUGCACGCGACGCAGGGGCGGCGUUGGCGUUGGGGGAGGAGGAGGAGGGAGGUCGGGACUCAGUGAGGCCUCUAGUUGGGGCUAAAGGGAUUGGAGAUGCUCAGGCGUCGCUGCCGUGCAGGAUGAAGGAGGAGGCGGGAGGCGGGGGUGGGUGUCUCCCACAUGCCCGCCGUGAAAACGGGGACACUCCGUGCGCAAGAUGAUUCGAGGUGAGCGUCUCGGUGUCCGUAAAUGUUUGCGCGGGGUUGCUGUUCGCUGCCGUAGCCUUUCCGAUCUUAACAGACGUGUGCAUUUAAUCCAAUAACGAAUUCUUGUUGUUGUUGUUGUUAUUAUUGGGAGUGUAGGGAUAUAAAAUCGCCGCGUGAGUGCAAUGCCAACGCCAAUGUCGUAUCACCCUCGUCCACCCGGCACGGGCCACGUUCAAGUCAUCCAGUUGCUCCACACGCAACAAUCGCCGCCGAUUUUUUUUGCGAGCCGCUUCGGGCAAGCGCCAUGGGGCGGCGAUGCUUGGACAGCGGAGCCGGGGACAGAUCCAUUCGGUGCGCAACGUUUCGCUGCUCGUGUCACGGGCAGCGUCAUGUGGCGAUUGGCGGAAUUCUGGAACCGCUUCCCCCCCCACCCCCACCCAAAGAGAGAUUUAAUUGCUACGGCGAGGAAGCUGAAUAUCUUGAGGCGGCGUCAAGCCACUGCUAGAGAAUGGUCUGCACGCGUUCAAUUGACGGCCGCGCACAUCAUCGACGGCAGCAAAUUAUUCCGCACCUGGUGAUUUCUGCGCUGAUUUGUGCUUUCAUUUUUUUGGUUAUCAGUUAAUGCCAAUGAUGACGCGGCUGAGAGUCAAGGUUGUUACAUUUCGUGGUGUCAAUAAUAAAAGUGCGUUCAACGUGUGAGGAACCGCACGGUUUUUCGCUCGCCCUCGAAAAGAGAGCACGACUCAGAGAGAGAGAGGACGACUCGAACAGGACGACUUAGAGAGAAAGAGAGGACGACUCCGAGAGGACGACUCCGAGAGAGAGAGAAGACGACUCAGAGAGAGCGAAGACGAC